rnacentral:tRNA from 1 species
AGCUUCCGCUUGGACUUGCACCAAGAGUUUCUGGUUCCUAAGACCAACGGAUGAGCUGUUAUCCCUCAGAAGC